CCAUUUAAUUAGGUGUGUGAAUUUGUUCUUAAUGAGAAUGUGAGACAAUGUGGUAUAUAGGUUAGAAAAAUCAAAACUUUGAACAGAUUCAAAAUCACCAACAUAAGCAUGCAAUUUAUCAAUUAUGGUUUCAUCUUCUGACUCGGACUUCUCUUGAACUGAAUUUCAAAUGUGCGUAUUGUUAUGCGUUUACUUUUCUAC
rnacentral:lncRNA from 1 species